AUACAGUUCUUGCCUUGUGACUUCCAACUUCAAGGACCAUUUUAAAAUUAUUAGAAUGAAUCAACCGACAUGAGCUUUUGCAGAACACAACACUUGCUGUUCCGCUGUACGAUUGCCAGAGACCGCGGAGGCGAGAUUGCAAUGGACUGAAAGUGCAUUGAAAUAGACCCUUUCCCGAAAAUUUAAAUGAGUUCUGCUAAAUUUAAAAAAAAAACAAUACCAGCAUUGGAAAAAGCAAAUUUACUUUAGUAACCCUACGAAGAUUCAUGAUAUUAGGUGUUAUAUCGGCCGAGAAAAAGUUGAAAAUUGACAUAUUUACAAACAUUYGUACGUCUGGGGUUUAUAUACGCAAUAACCCCAGACAUACACACGGUGACUUUUUGAGCCGUUGAUCCUUCGUUGAGCCCUAGAGGAAUCAACAGCUCAAAAUGUGAAAUGAAAUAGUCUCGGUUUGAGCCGUGAGAUAGGCCACCAUUUGCAGGAAAUAAUCAUAUGACUAUAUGACUCCUACUAGAUGGCAAAAACUUCCUUUAUGUAAAUCACGUUUUACUGGAUUACUAAUGUCUUAUCCUAAAACCUUUUUCAAAAGGACUUUUUUCCUCUAAUAAGAAUUUUAUUUCAAGAAACGAAGCAUUUUAAAGUUUGUUUGCCAUCCAGCAGAGCCUUUCCCAAGGGACCUUGAGCUGACUCGAUUCUUUAGCAAAGUGGUAUAUCAGCACGUGACUGUUUGUUGCAAAUGGCCCAUUGCAUUUUGUUCCCAGAGGAUCUCGGGCUCGCUGAAACUAACUCCAGCUUAGCUCUCAACACCAGAUACGGAAUUUUAUAGUAUUAUUCAGAGGAUUGCGCGCGUAUAGAGAAUAAACAUAAUUGUGAAAAGUGGAUCCAGUUUUGGAAGACACGAGUGAAAAAACGUCUGCGCAUGCUCUGAAUCCGUAUGCAAAUUAGUCAAAACAUAUGUAAGUUUGACUUUCAAACAUUUCUGAUAAAUAGACAGUUUUCGAAUUGCAAAUUACCGCUGUGUUCCUUGAUCACAGACUCAUUUGCACAGGGUUAGCCUUGUCGGCCUCAGCUUUGUAGCUUUUCAGGUGACAAACUUUAUUGAAAUAAGUAUAUAUGAGCAGCCGAUCAGUAGAUUGGUUUAUAGGUGGGAUUAAUGAAAGAGAUAUGAACUGCUURUGGCUUACCUUUUUUAUAGGAGAAAGGGAAGAUUCCUCAAUCUGUCUCAAAUAAAAUAUAUUCAUAA